GGCCAGGAGGACAGACAUGCCUCCCCACAUUUUUGCCCCCAGCAGGCUGAGGAGUUUCUUUAUCCUUCAGAGACCUCCUCUCAGGUGGAAUAUAUGUUCUCAACUCCCCAACUUGGGCUUUUCCCAUGUGACUCUGAGUAACAUCCCAGAGGGAAGUGACGACAUGACAUUUUCAGAAAGAUGAGUCAUUAGCCAUUCUGUUUCCACUCACCUCCUGCCGAUGCCAUCUGACACGAGAACACUCUUGCUGUUCCCAGGAGAAUGAAACAAAUCUGGGGAACAACCCUGAGCUUGAGCUGCACCCAGCAUCCAGGCCACCUUUAUCCCAGAGUUGACUGGUCUUCACUGGUUUCCAGACUCAUGACUGAGAAGAUCUCAUGCUUGCUGUGCAUCCUAUCCUGGUUUGCCAAGACCCGUGAAGGAGGAGAGUCCAGACACCUAACUAUUGCUGCUGCCCCAGCUUCUCUCAAGGGUAGGGGUUGCAGGAGGUAUGGGAAAACAGAGCACCAGCUGUUCCAUCUGACCCCGCUUCCGUUUCGUCAGUCUCCUCCCCUCCCCAUACCCAUACACUAGUACUUGUGGCCCACAGCUCUGCCCCUGCUUCCCUGCUGCACCUGGAACCAAACUCCAGGUCACUGAGCUGAAGAAGCUGGGGCCUGUAGAGUGAAGGUCAGGGGCGUGGGCUCAGGUCCAGUCUCUCGCUCUUCUCUGUGUCCCCGAUCAGAUGGCGGAAGCCCUGUAGGAAUCACAGAGCGCUGAGGACGAGCUUUUCCUAGUCCUGGCAAAGUGAGCCGAGCGGCCAAGCACCAGAGGUUUAGAGUUCUAAAUCAUUUAGAAGCCGGAGACUUUCGGCACUCUGUGUGGAGACUUGACUUUAACAUCAGUGGCCCAGCACCCUGCAGUUUCCAGCACCCUCCGCUUCUAGCGGUAGCACCAACAGACUGCAGCAGGCAGCAGCCGAUGGGAGGCGCCUUCGAGGGUUACAGCCCCCGCACAGGCGUCAGGCACCGGGACCCUUACUCACGCAGCAGCCAGUGGCCCGGGUGUCGUGUUUAGGACGCUGGACCAUUAGCCCUCCACCGUGGCUUCUGUGACAGGUCUCUGGAAACUUGGCCCUUGAGGCGUGGCAGCUCUCCGGGACUCUUGAGCUUUCUCUCCUGAUCUGUUGCUGCUAUCUCCACUGCUGCCGGCUUCACCAUCUUCUGUUAUCAGCCGAGUCUACUCUAGCGUGGGAGGAGGCAAGAAGGCCUAGGGAGAUGGCUCAGUCUGCAAAGAGCAUACAUCUGCACAGGUAUGCACAUAUGUACACACACACACACAGUAAACAAACACACUGUACACACAGAAACUAUGCACACACAUCUGUGCGCACACACAUACACCUUCAUAUACUUUCUAUCUGGCCUGUUAUUACAUUCCCAAGAGGUGGCACAGUAGAGCAUCUCCUACCUGCUCUUCACUAAGGGGGCCGGACGCCAUGCUUACACAGCCAGGUGGGUUUGCACCAAUCACAGGCGACUCUCAAUCGGAUCACGGACUACGCUUGGACCAGUUAUAGCCCUUCUACUGGGCUCCCAAGAGAGAGCUCCUCUUCUGGUCUGGGUGGGAAAGGCAAGGUCAUUGAGAGCUUACCAGAGCUUUUGAUGGCAAUGAGUCCAGAGCAAGCCGUCAGAAGCAGUCAUAGGCAGGGCAGCCCCUCCAGGAGCCAGAGGGCAGCAGCAGCAAGUGGCUGCAGUUGUUGCGUAGCUGUGUGACUUCCUCAAGUCCUUGGAGUGUCCGAGUGUCUGGUGCCAGCCUGAGGGCAGUCCACCCCACUGCUUGGAUGGCAGUUCUAAGGAGGCAGGCAGGGCCCUUGGGAAAGAUGCACUUCCUGUCAGCUGGAGAGUCAAGCCACUUAAUAAUCUCAGCACUCAGGGUAGAGAGGCAGGGGCAGGUAGUGAGUUCACAGCCAGCGUGGUCUACAUGGAGAGUUCUGGGCUAGCUGAGGCUGCCUGGAACAGACUCUGUCUCAAUAAUACAAAAGCCAAGCCACUCUGGCCCCAACAUCCUAGCUUUGUUUUGGUUUUUUUUUUUAAAGAAAAAAUCACAUUAAGAGGGAUGCUUACAAUAAAGACUUAUCAUUAAUGGGAAAAGCACUUCAGUUGUAAUUAUCAGUACUUUACAAUGCUUGGCUUCUGCCCCAGGGAGAGCUGGGCCCUCCUAAUCCAUCUGUGCCUUUGUUGGGACCCUGAUAGGAAUGCUACCAUUUUACAAUAAAAAUUAAACGUGUGAAACUCACAAUAUUUAAAUGUGUUUGACCUCAGAAGUGGCCAUUCUGUCACUGUCUUCUUCUCUCCUCCACCUCUUCCUCCUCCUCCUCCUCCUCCUCUUCUUCUUCUUCUUCUUUGUCUUCAUCUUUUUUUCUGAAACCUGGUUUCAUUGUGUAGCCCUGGCUGUUCUGGAACUCACUGUGUAGACCAGGCUGGCCUCCAACUCACAGAGA